rnacentral:lncRNA from 1 species
CUUGAUUUCCCUGUGUGCAGGCUGGACUGUGCGAGACUGAGCAGGAGCAGAUGAGGAAGAUCCUCUACCAGAAGGAGUCGAACUACAACAGACUCAAGAGGGCCAAGAUGGACAAGUCCAUGUUUGUGAAAAUCAAAACUCUGGGCAUUGGUGCCUUUGGAGAAGUGUGCCUUGCCUGUAAGGUGGAUACUCACGCUCUGUAUGCCAUGAAGACGCUGAGGAAAAAAGAUGUCCUGAACCGGAACCAAGUGGCCCAUGUCAAGGCUGAGAGGGACAUCCUGGCUGAAGCAGACAAUGAGUGGGUGGUCAAACUCUACUAUUCCUUCCAGGACAAGGACAGCCUGUACUUUGUGAUGGACUACAUACCUGGUGGGGACAUGAUGAGCCUGCUGAUCCGGAUGGAGGUCUUCCCUGAACACCUCGCCCGCUAAAGGGAACCACAUCAGACAGGACAGCAUGGAGCCUGGUGACCUCUGGG